rnacentral:rRNA from 1 species
AGAGGGUGCGAGCGUUGUCCGGAAUCACUGGGCGUAAAGGGCGCGUAGGCGGCGCGGUAAGCGUGCGGUGAAAGCCCGGGGCUCAACCCCGGGUCGGCCGUGCGGACUGCCGGGCUGGAGCACUGUAGAGGCAGGUGGAAUUCCGGGUGUAGCGGUGGAAUGCGUAGAGAUCCGGAAGAACACCGGUGGCGAAGGCGGCCUGCUGGGCAGUAGCUGACGCUGAAGCGCGACAGCGUGGGGAGCAAACAGG